rnacentral:rRNA from 1 species
GACGAACGCUGGCGGCGUGCUUAACACAUGCAAGUCGAACGAGACCCCGUCUUCGGGUGGGUGUUCUAGUGGCGAACGGGUGAGUAACACGUGGGCAACCUGCCCCCGGCUCUGGGAUAACUCCAAGAAAUUGGGGCUAAUACCGGAUAUUUCCGCUGACCGCAUGGUCUGGUGGGUGGAAAGGGUUUCCGGCUGGGGAU